AUGUAGGGCAAUCUGUCUUUAAGUAGGGGUAAACUACUCUCACAGAAAAGAAGCCUAGAUAGUUUUCCCUUCAAGUUAAGCGUCUUGU
rnacentral:pre_miRNA from 15 species